UACAGAGGGUGCGAGCGUUAAUCGGAAUUACUGGGCGUAAAGCGCGCGUAGGCGGCUUUGCAAGCCGGAUGUGAAAUCCCCGGGCUUAACCUGGGAACUGCAUUCGGGACUGCAUUGCUAGAGUAUGGGAGAGGGAAGUGGAAUUUCAGGUGGUAGCGGUGAAAUGCGUAGAUAUCUGAAGGAACAUCAGUGGCGAAAGCGACUUCCUGGACCAAUACUGACGCUCAUGUGCGAAAGCGUGGGGAGCAAACAGG
rnacentral:rRNA from 1 species